GAAGCUGACCAGACAGUCGCCGCUUCGUCGUCGUCCUUUCGGGGAGACGGGCGGAGGGGAGGAAAGUCCGGGCUCCAUAGGGCAGGGUGCCAGGUAACGCCUGGGGGGGGAAACCCACGACCAGUGCAACAGAGAGCAAACCGCCGAUGGCCCACGUAAGUGGGAUCAGGUAAGGGUGAAAGGGUGCGGUAAGAGCGCACCGCGCGGCUGGUAACAGUCCGUGGCACGGUAAACUCCACCCGGAGCAAGGCCAAAUAGGGGUUCAUAAGGUACGGCCCGUACUGAACCCGGGUAGGCUGCUUGAGCCAGUGAGCGAUUGCUGGCCUAGAUGAAUGACUGUCCACGACAGAACCCGGCUUAUCGGUCAGUUUCA
rnacentral:RNase_P_RNA from 2 species